UUGAAGGCUUGCGUUGGGCUCCUGGCCCUGAGGCAGCUUCGCUAGGCUCAAUUCCCUGUUGUCCUGCACUAAGCUAACCAGAAGGUUUCUGGGGAAAUGUCGGUGGAGCUCCACUACCGCAAAAUCCAGCACAGCUGAGUCAUCACAUCUGCACCACUCGGAUCUGCUCCGUCUCCGCGUGAGAUGAGAGCUGUUGCAAUGCAGCCACAUAACCUCUGAGCGUGUUGUGAGUGUCACUUCCUCCACAAAAUAAAACAAAACCCAACUGCAGAGCCCUAGGGGCCAUUGCUCAGGGAUGCAAGAUAAACAGUGGCAAGCACAAUAUGCUGAUAUGGGCAACGUGAGAAGCAACCUGACGUGGUCUACCAGGCACUGACCUCAGACAAGCAAAGACCCCAUAGAAAGGCACAGACGUGUUGUAGCUUGGGUGCCUGCAACGUGGUCUGCUGGGGAGUGUAUCGUGCUGAGUUUCUGUCCCUUUUGGAGGUCUGAUUUCAGGGAGAGUGUGGAUCGGGGCCCUGCUGCCUGGAAAGAAAGGAGUCCCUGCUUCGGUGCAUUUCAGGCCAAAUACGUUGACAAAUAGCAGAGCCUGCCGGUCUUCAAAGAACAGCCCUUGCCUUGGCACAGAGGGGCACAGCCUAUCACUUCCCUUCAAAAAGAGAUGUUGCCUCAGCAACCAAAGUUUUGAAGUCAGGCAAAGUUCUGGAAAAAAAAAAAUGUACACCAAAAAACAACAAUUGCGAUGGGAAAUGACACUCAGGAACAAAUGUACGACGUUGCCAUGGCAGCCUGAAUACUUGCAUGGAACUUGGUGUUUUGAAAAUAUAAAAAGACUGUGCUUCAAGUGAGUCCAAGUAACUUAAUGCCUUUGUCAGGUAGCUGCACAAUGCCAAGUGUCUGGUGUUUAUAUUUUAUACCUGGCGUGCGAAUGACUCUAGUGCUUCUGAAAUGGGAGCGACUUCUGCUCUCAAUUCGAUGGAGGACUAUUUCAGACUGCAGGCUUUGCUGGGUUGCCUGGCCUGGUAUUGAUCUGUUGGGGUUAUUUCUGUCGUUUGAAGUCCGUCGGUUCUUGGUUGUCUUGGUUUCCAUGUCUGUGUUUUAUCUGUUAUUUCAUUUGAUGCACUUAUCCGACAACGUCUGGGAAAAAAAACAAAACAAAAAAAAAAAAACAGUAGGUGAAUUGUUCAGAAACAUGGAUUUUCUUCCUAGUCCCACAAUAAUCCAUGCCUUGCCUCUGAGCCAUGAAGUGCAUGAGAGGCUUUCAGGGGGCACAAACUGCUUCAUCCAGCUCCUAGAGCAGAACCAGAAGUGAUUUUUCUCUGUCGGAUAGGUUUCUUCCCCUAACUGCAGUGAGGAAGAGGAAUAAGUAGCCUAGGCUGUAUUCCAGUGCCUGUUUUAUGGAUGGUCUUUGCAAACCCGAAGGAGGGAACCAAGGCCACCUGAAGUUCUGCAAGUCUAGAGGACCAAUAAUCUGGAGCUCAUCACCUAUCUCUAGAUAGGCUUGAAUCUCCUGGCAUUUGACAUCUAUUUGGUAGGGCUUUCUGUGGCCUUGAAGGGCACAAAGAGAGAAGGAAACCAGGUUUUAGUGACCUCUUGCUAUUAUCCUUCACCAUCUCAGGGAGACAGCCCUCUGGUAAAAGCAGUGCAGGUAGGAAAAGGUCUGUGUGAUGCAGAACCAGAAAAGGGCUGAUAUUAUGUGGACCAGCCACUGAUCCAGUGCUGAGAAGUUUAAAUCCUAAAUGAUCAACAGGAAAGGGAAGGGUUCUCAGCACCUAACUGAGAAACAGGCUGGGACCCCAACACUGCAAUCUGUUCCUUUUUGGUAGACUCUUACUGAGAGGUGAGCAUGGGGACAGUUCUCCCAGCAGGGCAGAUGCCUUUGGUAGAGCCAACCCACUGCUGUUGGGUGGAAAACAGCCUGGCUGAGGACUCACCAUGCUGUGAGUGCCAAGAGGCCAGCGAUGGCCCACUGCGUGCCAUCCCGGGUUGGGUACGUGCACAGAGAACCGUGCCAUGGGGACUUCCCACUCCAGGCUGGACCACAGCUCAGAGGUCACGUUCCACCAUCAUCAGUGAACUCUUUGUUUUCUCUUGUCUACUGGAGAGUACGUUUCUAUUGCCCAAUCCGUCCUCGCCUUGCAUCAUCUCUGGUUCUGCUUUAUCUGUGCUGGCCUCCUCCCCGUUGCCCUGGGUGGUCCGGUGUUGGCUGCUCUCACUUGCAGGCUGUGCGGGAGGGGUCUAAUUUGGAGAGGGAGCGGGGAUUUCUGUGCAUCUUGGCAGGAGCUCAAGCCAUGUGCCCAAAGCCUGCAUCUCCCGGGCUCUCUUCCCCGGGCCACCACACUGAAAUUCCCACUCCCCUGGUCCACACGCACACCUCACCCCGCGCUGCUCCUCUCCAAUUAGAGCAUUAAGAAGAUAGUUUAUGUCAAGCACUUUGGAGAGGACGUCUCUGUUCUUAACUUAAUUAUUUGGCGUUACAAAGGUUUCUAGCCUCUCUCUCCCCCUUGACAGUUUUAUUAUGGAAAUAUUUUUUACUCUGGGCUCUCUCCUUUGUGUUUCUCUAUGGCGUUUACAAUAGGGGCUUCUCAGUGCUUGUUUUCAAGUAGCUCAAACGAGAGAUCAGUUUCAGACAAAACACGCAGCUGGCUCUGAGGAGAGGAACGGAGAAAUGCUGACUGUUUCACAGAGACAUGCUGUGCUCAGCUCCAGCACCCCAGCAUCCAGUCCCCACACCUUCCCUUUCUUCUCUUGGCCUUGAUGCCUGCAGCAGACUCAAGGGAGAGGACCAGCCUCGUGCUCUGUGCCAGGUCUCUCUUCACAGCUAUGCCCUCCCAAUGUUAUUUGGGACCAUGGGGCUAUGAGCUUCAUCCCUCAUGGGAAUGCCCUGCGGGUAUGAGUCUGGAUCUGAGCCCUAAAGGCUUCUCCAGAGCCAUACCCACAAGCACUGCAGUACGCUGAGCCUCCUCCUAGCAAUGCCUGGCUUCUGGCAGGAAGGACAUACCAGCUUUUGGAGCUGUGCUGCUCUGCCUAGAUUCUGCUUCUUGCCUACGGUGUGUGCAGAGCCUUGCAAAUGGGCAGAAAGAUGUGGUACUGACCGGGCAGAUGAAGAAGUGCUCCAGGGAAGGGUGAGAGAAGAAAUGGAAAGUGAGGUCACUUUAAAUGUUUACUUGAAAUGGAGCCCUUGAUCUGAGCUUGUUUGAUGUCCAUGGCAGUUUUCCUGGAGAUUAAUUCCACAGUUACACCAUAAAAACUGUAUAAAAUCCAUAAUCACCGGCACAUUUGGGAUUGUGCCACUUUACAAGAAGAGCACUUGCUUAUGCUCAAGCCUACAGUAAUUCCACUCAGGAGACAUAUUUUGUGCCAUAAGGGUGAAAUAUGUUUCUGAGACCCAUACUUUACAGAUUUAGAGGGACAGAAACCACUUCUCAAUCUACAGAAAAAAAAAAAAAUAAUAAUAAAAAAAAAAAAACAACUACUUUUGGCAAACAUCAUUUACUGAAAUUAAAGUAUCACCCUUCCCACUGCUUUUUGUUAUUUUACAUACAACAGGUUUGUAAAAGAGCAUCACAGUUUGAAGGACAGUAUGAAGGACAGGGCGUUAAAAGAUGAUGGUAUGGACCAUGGCCUGAGCAGGUCAUCCUGCCCCAGCAGUGAAAGCUUGCAGGGAGCAGAAUUCAUGCAGGGCUUUCAGAUAAGGAGUGAAGGUCGAUUUCAUGUUGGUGUUUUUCCUGAGGUUGUAGUUUCUGUCUGGAUUAAAAGGGAUGAGUAAAUCUGAAUUGGUGGGAAUGAAGCAGAAACAGUUUCCUAGAAAAGUCCCAGUGGAUCCAUGGUGGUUACUUUGCUAAUAUUUUAUUGCUCAGGGUUGACUCAUUCUGUCCAGAGUGGACCUGAUCGGCAGUGACAGAGUCUGCCUUGCAGGACAGAGCCUGGUGACGUGGGUUUUUCUGGGAUGAUGGAGAUGGCCAUGUGCCAUUGCCUUCAGCAGUUCCUCACAGGACCUGGAAGUAAGGCUGCUGCAGGUAGGAGGUGUUGUGUUACUAAGCAGCUGCCUGCAGUUUUGGUGCAUUGGUUCAUUGGUUGUGGUUUGAUGCAUCUAGCAUGCGCAAAUGUGCGUGCAUGUGCAUGCUUGCACUCAUCUUUAAGUCAUAAAUCACCAUGCCCCUCAGCCAAAGGAAACUGUCAUUCCCAAAUACCCCAGAGAACUGCCAGCUGAAAACACUACCAGCAUAAAUAACCAUGGAGACUUUCAGUUUCCCACAUCCCAACAUAGGGAUAUGGCUACAAUUUCUCACCAUCCUUAAUUUUAAUUUUAAUUUUAAUCUUUUUUUUUAUUAUUAAAAAAAAGCACCCAUGGCUGAAUUAAACCCUGCUUUCUGGUCUCAGCAGCUGGCACAAACAUUUAUUUAUAGUGUGUAUAGAGAUGUGCAGAACCAGCUGUCAGCCAGCCCACAGGCUCUUGCAACUCCUGGAUUGCUGCUAAGCUGGAGCUGUAGAAAUUAACUGUAAAGUCAUGGAAGGCAGAGAGGGAGGCUGAAGGUCACACCAGACCUUGGCACCAGAGGGGAGAGUGGCAUCGCUGAUAGUGCCAAAAAGAAGGAAGGGCGGACGAGGGAGGAGACAUUAGGUGUUUGUUAGUGGUUGCCAAAAAUUAUGCAGGAGGAAAUAUGAGAAAGGUCAUAGGAAACCUAAGUCAAGAAGGAAGAUUGGGAAAAGGACACUGCAGAGAUGUCAGAGCAAAGGUGGUAGAUGAGGGGACAAGACCAGGGUUGUAGUGGUGGAAGCAGCCAAUGCAGGUUUUGGAUGAGGGGUGAGGCAGGUCCAGCAGACUAAGGCAGGGCUCAUUACCAUGUGCCAUCAGGCUAGUGUAGGGUUGUCCCAGCUGUGGACAGCACAGCAGUCCUAGGACAAACAUCAGGACAUAGGACCAGUGCAGGCAGGCGUAUAUUUGGAGCCAUGGGUCACAGACCACCUUGGAUCAGCAGGCUGUAUCUGGUAGGACUUGGUGUCCAGGCUGGGGAGGUAAAACUAGAAGACACGAGCAGUGACAGAGCAGUGUGAGCAGGGUUGGGUUGGGGCCAAACACAGCUUGCAACCAUUAUAAGAAAUGCUGCUGCAUGCUCAUGCUAAACAGAUGCCAGCUUUUGGCCAGCCACAUGGAUGGCUGAGUUAGAACAAGUGCCAGCACACACCAUAAUAAGCACACCACGGAACAGCACGCUUAGUCCCUGGCCUCCUCUACAUCACUGGGGCCAUUAGUCCUUAAACGUAGGGACACUGGUUACCAGGAUAUAUGGGGUCCCACUGGACAUUUGCUCUCCAUCUAAAUCUUAUCUAUCCUCCAGCAAGGCAGGAUACAAUACCACGAGGUAGUAGGGCUACAUACAGAACAGCUCCUUGCAUCCAGGGCACAGCCUUUAUGGGUUGGACCAGGUGAUCUUGGAGGUCUUUUCCAACCUUAAUGAUUCUAUGAUUCCUGCUUCUUGCUUAUGUUCCUGAGGGCCUCUCAUCUGGCACUGCACUGGUCUGUGCUUCAUUUGCAACCAUAUGUUAAUGGCCAGUGUGAAAUGCAAUGGUAAAGUGGGGUUUCCAGCUACGAUUUCCUCAAGAGCUCUCAUCCCAGAAGGCAAGCCAAUGUCUCCUCUUGGGACUGGUUUGCAUCCAGCACUGAGCCCAAAAACACUGUGCAGAGGUGGUGGCACCAUAGCUCUCCACAUCCAGGAGAACUUGUGGAACAUGGCAGGAAAAGACUGAAGUGUGCUGAUGAAGAUAACAUAAAGGAAGACCUAAAAUCAGAAAGGAGGAGGGAAGCAUUAUUGCUAAGUACCUAAGCCAUCAGGAUGGACCUGGAGUACAGCAGAGUGGAACAAGUUACGGCAGGUAUACUAAAAUAAAUGACUCAGAAAAAGGUCAGUCAUACUUGAUUUGCCAGAGCCAAUUUGUAGGCUGUGACACGCAGCAGUGACCACUUUCAGAUGAUUCGUUUUGAGGCAACUGUGAAUUUAUUGUCUUGGGAACCAUUGCCCUGAGAGGCUUUCAGGCAGUGACGUCUAACUGUGAGGAGAGUGAAUUUCAGUACAAAUGGGGUGAAGGGAGCACAGGCAGAGGCCUUUGCAUUGUUGGUAGAUGACCCUGGUCAGCAAAUGAAAAAUUUCACUGAAUUUUAAAAGAUUUUUUUUUCCCCAAAACCUUCACAUUCCUAAUCUUUACUUCAUACCAGAGAAGAGAAAUAUGCUAGGACUUCAGAAAACAAAACAGAAUGAAAGAAAACAAAAAAACAACAACCCUUUGUAAUUUUCAAUAUCACAUUUUCCACCAAAACCAGGAAUGAAAAUUGGUGAAGAUGGCUAUCCAUCUUGGCAGGAAGAAAACAGCUCAUCUCUAAACAUUUUAAAGGAAAUUCAGAUGGCUUUUCACAGCAGUGUUUUACCAUGCCAUGUCCCAUGUCUCUCAUCUUGCACAAAGGGUCAUUCCAAGAAGACCCACUUAGGACACCCUUUGGUAACAACAUCCUCCCAGUAGGGUCUUCCUAGGACAGCCCAGAUAACAGAACAAAACAUUUCUUCUAAAAACAGCUCUCAGACAGUCUCUGGGCACUCUCCGCCUGGUUAUAUAAGUGGCUUUUGAGUACAAAAUGUGGUUUGGUCAUUGCAAACUCCCAUCCUUAAAAAAAAAAAAAAAAAAAAAUUACGUUGGUGCUUCAUGGGGAGUGUUUACUCCUGCUUCCCUGAGUUCCAGCCGUCAAACAAAUGGGUUUUGCUUAAUGAAAAGCACUCUGCAGAACAGCUCCCUUAGCUGGGAGAUGGGGGGCGAGGAAAGGAAAUAAAUAGGGAAAGAAGAGAUGUAUUUCUUCUUCUCUUUGAACUGCAGAUUUGUAGCAGCAUCCCCCAUUCUGCAAAUUUGUUAUACAUGGAGUUGUUUGACUGCAGAGUUAAAAUCCAUAAAACAAACUAAUUCAUUUUAAGCUUCUCACAUGGAUCUCAAAAAGAACAAGAUAUUCCUUGUGUACUGCAGCACAACGGGGAGCCUUUUGUUAUUUAAUUUAUUUAUUUAUUUAUUUUUAAUUCUUACCCUGGCUGGGUGGGAUGCAUUUCUGAAGCUAACUGUACCCCUUUCUUGUCUGAUCAGGACUCUUUGCUUCAUUGUAGAGAGUAAGUCCAGUUGAGCGGAGCUGGGAACUUUAGGGAAAAGGGUCGUGUUGCCAGACAGCAGAAAACACAGACUUAGCAGAGGGAUGGUUAACAUCAGCCCUGACCCUCUAAAUGAAUGUUCUCAAAUAUAAAUAUCAAAGAUUUAAAAAAACACAGAUCUUGACUAUUAAAUGGAGUCAGACUGUUUAGGAACUGUUCUGAAGAUUGAUGCCGGUGUUGUAGCAGCCUUCAGACAAUGGUUCCCAGCCCUUUUUGCUCUUCCACUGUGCUUGCUCUGGCUCUAUGAAUGGUACUGCUCACACAACAGUCUCAGCACAGCCAUACUCCACAUAGUGUUCUCCGAGAUCCUACAUACUGAAGGAAUGGGAGCAAUUACUGAAUAAAACUACAUAAACUGAUAAAGAGUGGUUGCAUUCAAAGAAGUGAGCUGCAAGAUGAAAAGAACACCAUUUAGCAGAUCCAUUCUUCUCCCUCUAUGCAUCCAGUGUGGUGACAGAAAUCAGAGCCAGGAUUUCCAAAGCAAGUUAAUGUUAUUUGUAUUAGAAGAGUUGAUGUAAAUGUAAGAUCACACCAACAGCCAUAGUGGUGCAAACCGAAGACCCAACUUUCCUUUGUCUUUACCAUUGGGCAAUUUUACAUGCAUAGGAAAGAGUAGAAAAUGAGUAUAUCACGAGCGCUCUUGCACAAGGAGAACCCUGCCAAAAAACAGUGGUUAUGGGAAAUCCUGAGCUGAGAGGUGCUUCUGGGUGACUACGUUUAAUAAUCACUGGAGAACCCUAUAGCUUCCACAACACCUCAGCAAGAAGUUCCACUGUGAAAUAACGAGCACUUUUUGCCAAGAUUCAGAAUAUUUUUGCUGACGUCAUUUUAACUAUGAUUUUAUACUUGACAGUCUUGAAAACAUUGUAAAACUAUAGGAGAGCAAACUGGAUGCUGUUCUGCAUGUGUCGGAUUGUGAACUGAAAUCAGGGUUCCAGCUUAGACACUUUAUUGCUAGAGACAAAAAUAUGUCAGGCUGAGUUACCACCCAGAAGCCUGGUGAUGAGCAAAAAAGCCUCCCAAACAUCGAGGGGACAGAGAAAGCAAAUAACUCCAAAUCCUGUUAUUGUUACUCAUAAAUUAGAAUAUUUCCUAAGAUAGAAAUAGAAUAUUAGAAUAUUUCUAAGAAACAAUAUGCAAAGAUAUUUUCAUAGAGUGUUUUUGCACAGCACAUCAGUCCUCAAAUUUAUUACCAAAAAAGGUGUUUCUUGGUGCUUUUGAAAUGUUUUUUCCCAAAUCCGGGUAACACAGGAUUUUCAGGUGGUCAUAAAUAUUUAUUUGGCCAGUGAGUGCAUGGGAUGCCAGUGUUAUGGAGCCAAAUGACAUUCCUACAGCUGGUACUGAGCUUAGCCAUGCAUGCAGGUGAAGGCAGCUGUGGAGCUUUCAUCUUAUGAAAAUGUUCCUAGAGAGAUGGAAGAAGGAGAGCUUUAAACAAUGUUGAGGAAAGAGGGUCAUGUGGGAAUGAAAUGUUUCACACGAUAAGCAAAAUCAAAAUAAUAAACCAAAUGUUAGAAAUGAACAAAGCAACAGAAAGAAAAACAAGAAAUAUUUUGAAAUAAGUAAGUGCAUCCUCAUGGAGAUGCCCUUUACACAACCUAGAGCCAUGGGUUUUGCUCUUUGCUCACCAUUUAAGGAGCUCUUUGCAUUAUCUGUGCAUCAUUGCAACAUUGAUCCUAGUAUGCAAUGAGUAAUUUUGUUUGCUUUCAGUGAAAAGCUCCAGCCCCCUAGCUUGGUUACUACAGCCUUGUUCUUGUAACCACUCUUGAGAUGGUGCCUGAUAUUGUUCCACUUAUUCAUUAAUAACAUGUGUUGUGGCUUCUUCUGAUGUAAACAUUAGCAAAGCUUUCAUGAAGUUUUUAAUAAACUUAUCCACCACUGCAUGCAUUAAAAUGAAAAAUUAUCGAUGACCCCUUUUGCAAGCCAUUAAUGAUGACAUGCAAUUUAGCUGAUGAAUCACAAGUUUGCUGUAGAUUUAGGCUAUGUUUGUGUCCGUCUCAGUGGAGUCUGUCCCCUACUUCUCCAUGGUAACUGCGCCGUCUUUGACAUCACUAGCCAAAAUAGAGCAUGGAGGUUAUAAAAUCCUGAGGGGGUGUGGGAAGGGGAAUGGUAGAGGCAGAAUGAAAAUACAAUUCAAUAAAGGAAACUUCUUAAUGCUUAAGGCACUGGACUAUGUCAGGCAAGGGAUGUCUGAAAUCUGAGAAAUGGGGACAUCAGCAUUACAGGGCUAGAAGUUUGAGUACGGUUAUUGAGACUAACAUGGAAAGCAAAAUAAUCUGUGACUCCUUUUGGAGAGAGUCAUGAUUCAUUCAAUACAUAUGAUUUUCUUUUUUGGCAUGAGAAAUCCUCUCCAUCACAAUGAGGGUAGAGGGCCCCAUGUUGGGAGUCAAGAAAGCUCUUUGGCAACUCAAGACAAGACAAGCCCAAAAAUCUUAGAAAAAGUGCCCUAAAGCAGAUACCAGUACUGCUCAAUCAUUAUCAUGAAUCUUGUGGUCUGGGAUGCUGCUUUUCUAAAAUGUAUACCCCUAGAAACCAGGAGCUAGAUGACCAUCACAACUUCAAUUAAAAAAAAAAAAAAGAUGGAGUUUUGUGUCAGAUAGGAGAGACAAAUCUGACAAAGACCAACUUACUUGGCAGUUCAAAAUCAUAAAGAGAAGAAAAUGAACCCAAAGUUGUUUUGUUUCAAAGUUGGUACUGCAAUUUGGAUGCUGUUGGGCAACAAAUGAGCUUAGAAGAUGUGAUGUGGGGUGGAGGAGACAGUGGGCAUGGGAAAGGGCCGAGAGGAUGGGUAGAUGUUGAGGCUCAUCUCUGUUCACUUUAACAAGGCUGUCAGUCUGGGGAGGGUUAAAUGUUUCCAGGGGAAUGGAAACUCAGCUCCAGCCUUGUCAGAGCUCUGACGUGUCAACACAUAUAAAAUAAACAGACGUGGAGCGCUAAGAUAAUGCACAUGCACCAGGUCUGUGCAAUGUCGGGAUCAUUUUGGUUCACUUCACAAAACUAUUAUCCCUUUUUGACUUGCACAGUAAGCCAAUUUUAAAUGUCCUGUGGACUGUUUCAUUUAGGAGAAAUAAAGCUGAUAAUGGAGCCCUGUAUUUCCUUACUGUAGCCCUGCUUUAUUUACAAUGAAGGUACAUGAAACCCUGUGUCCUUGGACAAAGCAGGAAUGAAACAGCAAGAAACGGCUCCUUUGUUCACAAUUGCGAGUUAGCAUUUAGUCUGAAAUCUUUUUCUCUUAUGUUCUUUCAUUCUUGUCUUUUCCCUUAGCACUAUGUGUUUUUUCAUAAACCAGAUGAAAGUAGAAGUUUUGUUUACUUUUACUUAAAAACAAAAAUAUCUUCUAGGAAACUUAGGAAGCAAGCUGUACUAUGAACAGCAGAAGGAAUGUAAUGAGAGUUCCUAUAAAUUUGUACCCACUGUCCCCAUAGUUAUUUCCACUCAGAGCCCAGACAACACAGACACUGAACAUCUGGCUGAUAUCCGCUCGCAGUUUGAUGUGAUGGUAUACCAAACUGGAUAAAAAGCUGUUAAAUGCACACUGCGACAUUUUCCUCAGCAAGUUCCUAGCUUGGAUGCCUUUGUUUGGUCACUGAUUUUCAUGAAACUUGGAAGAAUUUGUUGUCUUUGUGACUUUCACUGUAUAAAGUAAAGAGACUGCUGGACAGAAAACCUUGUCUCAUGUCUUAUUUCCUUAGGAAAGCAAGAUGAAAAUGGAUGAAUAAAAAAUAAAACCACCUUUCUUUUUUAUUAAUAUUAUUUAAAUCAGCUAAAGAAACAAAGAAACAAUAGAAGGAGGAAGAGAGAAAGGGAGGCAAAAAUACAGGAAAUGAAGGAAAAACUACAUUUGAAGCCAACUUGAGAAGAGAAAGAAAAAAGCAACAGAGGAGAAAUCAAGAUGAAUAAUCAAAAAUAAUCUACAGAUAUAAAUUAGGUAAAAGAAUUUUACUCUGCUUAUUUUAUAAAAUGAAUUAAAGCUGCCUUGCAAAUAGCAGUGCAAUUAAAUCACAUUUUUCUGUUGAAGUCAAACAUAAAAGAAUAAUAAAAUUUAGUUGUGCCAUCUGCAGAAACAGCUGUCAAAUGUCUGCUAUCUCUGUUUAUUUUGGUAGAAAUGAGCGAGUUGGGGCCAUUGUCUGUAAGUACAACAUAUAUAUAAUUAGAUUAAGAGGCAAGGUGUCAUGAUACCAUCCUUUCUAGAGCCUGUUUUUGCCAGGUGCUUAAAUGUUCAUGUUCCAAAAGGGUUUUGGCUGAAAAGAUGCAUCUCACGCUGUGGUCAAAGACCCAGUGUCGAGGUUUGCAGCAGGGCUGAGGGCAGCGGCUUUUCCAGGAGCUGUCAGAGAGAGGCAUCGGGUCCAGCCCAGGUUCUCAGCUCAGCCCCAGCCUGAUGGGCUGCAGGGCCAAGGGAUCUCCAGUCACCUCUGUGCUCCAUCUUACUUCUCUGAGAUCAAGGCCUGCCAUGUCCUCCAGAGUAUCUGCUGCCACAGGGCUUGGGAUUCAAGAGAGGGAGUGCCACAACUGCUCCGUGGGGUCACAGAAAGCAGCACCUAACUGAGUAACGUGGCACACCAGUACC